rnacentral:tRNA from 1 species
GGCUCUGUGGCGCAAUGGAUAGCGCAUUGGACUUCUAGUUGACUGAAGGCAUUCAAAGGUUGUGGGUUCGAGUCCCACCAGAGUCG